rnacentral:rRNA from 1 species
GAUGAACGCUGGCGGCGUGCCUAAUACAUGCAAGUCGAGCGAACAGACGAGGAGCUUGCUCCUCUGACGUUAGCGGCGGACGGGUGAGUAACACGUGGAUAACCUACCUAUAAGACUGGGAUAACUUCGGGAAACCGGAGCUAAUACCGGAUAAUAUAUUGAACCGCAUGGUUCAAUAGUGAAAGACGGUUUUGCUGUCACUUAUAGAUGGAUCCGCGCCGCAUUAGCUAGUUGGUAAGGUAACGGCUUACCAAGGCAACGAUGCGUAGCCGACCUGAGAGGGUGAUAGGCCACACUGGAACGGAGACACGGGCGAGACUCCUACGGGAGGGAGCAGUAGGGAAGAUUACGCAAUGGGCGAGAGCCUGACGGAGCAACGCCGCGGGAGUGAUGAAGGUCUUAGGAUCGUAAAACUCUGUUAUUAGGGAAGAACAAAUGUGUAAGUAACUAUGCACGUCUUGACGGUACCUAAUCAGAAAGCCACGGCUAGCUACGUG